rnacentral:tRNA from 1 species
GGGGUCGUAGUUUAACCUGGCUAGAGCAGCCGGCUCCAGACCGGCAAAUCGGGGUUCGAAUCCCCGCGACCCCA